rnacentral:rRNA from 1 species
AGAGAGAGACAUGCGCGCAUAUCAAUAAGCGGAGGAAAAGAAACUAACUAGGAUUCCCCUAGUAACGGCGAGUGAAGCGGGAAGAGCUCAAAUUUGAAAUCUUAAAGGGUUUCCCUUUACGAAUUGUAGUUUAAAGAAGUGUUUUCUGUUGAGGUUUUGGUAAAAGUUCUUUGGAAUAGGACAUCAUAGAGGGUGAGAAUCCCGUAUUUGACCUUUACUUUCAACUUUGUGAUACACUUUCAAAGAGUCGGAUUGUUUGGGAAUGCAGUCCAAAAUGGGUGGUAAAUUUCAUCUAAAGCUAAAUAUUGGCGAGAGACCGAUAGCGAACAAGUACCGUGAGGGAAAGAUGAAAAGAACUUUGAAAAGAGAGUUAAACAGUACGUGAAAUUGUCAAAAGGGAAGCGUUUGACACCAGUGUUGUUUUUCUGAAAAUCAAUUAAAGAACUGUUUAUGCUAAGCUUGUUUAGACUUUAUCAGCUAACUGUUUAGUUUUGAGCUUUUCUUUAAUGCACUUUUCAGUUAACAAGUCAACAUCAAUUUCUUUUGCUGUAAAAAAGCUUGAGGAAGGUGGCUUGAGAUUCGUCUUAAGUGUUUAUAGCCUCUUGCCUAUGCAGUCGGAGAGAUUGAGGUCUGCAGCGUAGAUCCUUCGGGGCUAAAUGCAUUUGUGCUAAGUUAUAGCCUUUUCAUAGACAACUUGUUGACUAUGAUCUGUCAUGUAGCUUACUCGCUUAUGCUAUUUUACCUACGCUUAGGAUGUUGAGCGCAUGUCUCUCUCU